rnacentral:rRNA from 1 species
CCUACGGGUGGCUGCAGUGGGGGCUCUUGCACAAUGGGGGAAACCCUGAUGCAGCGACGCCGCGUGUGGGAAGACGGUCCUCUGGAUUGUAAACCACUGUCACCAGGGACGAAGAUGACGGUACCUGGGGAGGAAACUCCGGCAAACUACGUGCCAGAAGCCGCGGUAAUACGUAGGGAGCGAGCGGUGUCCGGAAUGACUGGAUGUAAAGGGAGCGUAGGCGGGGAUGGAAGUUGGGUGUCAAAACUACCGGCUCAACGGGUAGUCGCACUCAAAACUGGAGCUCUUGAGUGAAGUAGAGGCAGGCGGAAUUCCUAGUGUAGCGGUGAAAUGCGUAGAUAUUAGGAGGAACACCAGUGGCGAAGGCGGCCUGCUGGGCUUUUACUGACGCUGAGGCUCGAAAGUGUGGGGAGCAAACAGGAUUAGAUACCCCGGUAGUC